AACGAACGCUGGCGGCAGGCUUAACACAUGCAAGUCGAGCGCCCCGCAAGGGGAGCGGCAGACGGGUGAGUAACGCGUGGGAAUCUACCCAUCCCUACGGAAUAGCUCCGGGAAACUGGAAUUAAUACCGUAUACGCCCUACGGGGGAAAGAUUUAUCGGGGAUGGAUGAGCCCGCGUUGGAUUAGCUAGUUGGUGGGGUAAAGGCCUACCAAGGCGACGAUCCAUAGCUGGUCUGAGAGGAUGAUCAGCCUCAUUGGGACUGAGACACGGCCCAAACUCCUUCGGGAAGCAGCAGUGGGGAAUAUUGAACAAUGGGGGCAACCCAGAUCCAGCUCUGCCGCGUGAGUGAUGAAGGCCUUAGGGUUGUAAAGAUCUUUCACCGGGGAAGAUAAAGUCGGGACACGGAGAAGAAGCCACGGCUAACUACGUGCCAGCAGCGGCCGUAA
rnacentral:rRNA from 1 species